rnacentral:rRNA from 1 species
AUACGUAGGGUGCAAGCGUUAAUCGGAACUACUGGGCGUAAAGCGUGCGCAGGCGGUUUUGUAAGACAGUGGUGAAAUCCCCGGGCUCAACCUGGGAACUGCCAUUGUGACUGCCAGGCUGGAGUGCGGCAGAGGGGGAUGGAAUUCCGCGUGUAGCAGUGAAAUGCGUAGAUAUGCGGAGGAACACCUAUGGCGAAGGCAAUCCCCUGGGCCUGCACUGACGCUCAUGCACGAAAGCGUGGGGAGCAACCAGGAUUAGAUACCCUGGUAGUCCACGCCCUAAACGAUGUCAACUUGUUGUUGGGGAUUUAUUUUCUCAGUAACGAAGCUAACGCGUGAAGUUGACCGCCUGGGGAGUACGGCCGCAAGGUUAAAACUCAAAUGAAUUGGCGGGG